rnacentral:tRNA from 1 species
UCCCUGAUAGCUCAGUUGGUAAAGAAUCUGCCUGCAAUGCAGGAUACCCCAGUUCAAUUCCUGGGUUGGGAA